GACGAACGCUGGCGGCGUGCUUAACACAUGCAAGUCGAACGGUAAGGCCCUUCGGGGUACACGAGUGGCGAACGGGUGAGUAACACGUGGGUGAUCUGCCCUGCACUUCGGGAUAAACCUGGGAAACUGGGUCUAAUACCGGAUAGGACCCUGGGAUGCAUGUCCUGGGGUGGAAAGCUUUUGCGGUGUGGGAUGGGCCCGCGGCCUAUCAGCUUGUUGGUGGGGUGAUGGCCUACCACGGCGACGACGGGUAGCCGGCCUGAGAGGGUGACCGGCCACACUGGGACUGAGAUACGGCCCAGACUCCUACGGGAGGCAGCAGUGGGGAAUAUUGCACAAUGGGCGCAAGCCUGAUGCAGCGACGCCGCGUGAGGGAUGACGGCCUUCGGGUUGUAAACCUCUUUCAGCACCGACGAAGCGCAAGUGACGGUAGGUGCAGAAGAAGGACCGGCCAACUACGUGCCAGCCGCCGCCGUA
rnacentral:rRNA from 1 species